ACGAACGCUGGCGGCGUGCCUAAUACAUGCAAGUCGAACGCUUCUUUUUCCACCGGAGCUUGCUCCACCGGAAAAAGAGGAGUGGCGAACGGGUGAGUAACACGUGGGUAACCUGCCCAUCAGAAGGGGAUAACACUUGGAAACAGGUGCUAAUACCGUAUAACAAUCGAAACCGCAUGGUUUUGAUUUGAAAGGCGCUUUCGGGUGUCGCUGAUGGAUGGACCCGCGGUGCAUUAGCUAGUUGGUGAGGUAACGGCUCACCAAGGCGACGAUGCAUAGCCGACCUGAGAGGGUGAUCGGCCACAUUGGGACUGAGACACGGCCCAAACUCCUACGGGAGGCAGCAGUAGGGAAUCUUCGGCAAUGGACGAAAGUCUGACCGAGCAACGCCGCGUGAGUGAAGAAGGUUUUCGGAUCGUAAAACUCUGUUGUUAGAGAAGAACAAGGAUGAGAGUAACUGUUCAUCCCUUGACGGUAUCUAACCAGAAAGCCACGGCUAACUACGUGCCAGCAGCCGCGGUAAUACGUAGGUGGCAAGCGUUGUCCGGAUUUAUUGGGCGUAAAGCGAGCGCAGGCGGUUUCUUAAGUCUGAUGUGAAAGCCCCCGGCUCAACCGGGGAGGGUCAUUGGAAACUGGGAGACUUGAGUGCAGAAGAGGAGAGUGGAAUUCCAUGUGUAGCGGUGAAAUGCGUAGAUAUAUGGAGGAACACCAGUGGCGAAGGCGGCUCUCUGGUCUGUAACUGACGCUGAGGCUCGAAAGCGUGGGGAGCAAACAGGAUUAGAUAACCUGGUAGUCCACGCCGUAAACGAUGAGUGCUAAGUGUUGGAGGGUUUCCGCCCUUCAGUGCUGCAGCUAACGCAUUAAGCACUCCGCCUGGGGAGUACGACCGCAAGGUUGAAACUCAAAGGAAUUGACGGGGGCCCGCACAAGCGGUGGAGCAUGUGGUUUAAUUCGAAGCAACGCGAAGAACCUUACCAGGUCUUGACAUCCUUUGACCACUCUAGAGAUAGAGCUUCCCCUUCGGGGGCAAAGUGACAGGUGGUGCAUGGUUGUCGUCAGCUCGUGUCGUGAGAUGUUGGGUUAAGUCCCGCAACGAGCGCAACCCUUAUUGUUAGUUGCCAUCAUUUAGUUGGGCACUCUAGCAAGACUGCCGGUGACAAACCGGAGGAAGGUGGGGAUGACGUCAAAUCAUCAUGCCCCUUAUGACCUGGGCUACACACGUGCUACAAUGGGAAGUACAACGAGUCGCAAAGUCGCGAGGCUAAGCUAAUCUCUUAAAGCUUCUCUCAGUUCGGAUUGUAGGCUGCAACUCGCCUACAUGAAGCCGGAAUCGCUAGUAAUCGCGGAUCAGCACGCCGCGGUGAAUACGUUCCCGGGCCUUGUACACACCGCCCGUCACACCACGAGAGUUUGUAACACCCGAAGUCGGUGAGGUAACCUUUUGGAGCCAGCCGCCUAAGGUGGGAUAGAUGAUUGGGGUG
rnacentral:rRNA from 1 species